GACGAACGCUGGCGGCGUGCUUAACACAUGCAAGUCGACAUGAGUGGCGAACGGGUGAGUAAUACGUGGGUAACCUGCCCUACUUUUUGGGAUAAGCCUUGGAAACGGGGUCUAAUACCGAAUAAAGGGGGAUGGGCUCGCGGCCUGUCAGCUUGGUGGUGGGGUGAUGGCCUACCAAGGCGGUGACGGGUAGCCCGCCUGAGAGGGGCAACGGCAACAUAGGGACGGAGAAGACGCCUAGGCGAGUACGGGAGGGAGAAGUGGGGGAUAUUGCACAAUGGGUGAAAGACUGAUGCCGCGACGCUGAGUGGGGGAUUAAGGCUGUAGGGUUGUAAAGCUCGUUAGCUAUCGAACCGGUAGGUGGAGAAGAAGCGCCGGCUAACUACGUGCCAGCCGCCGCGGUAAUUC
rnacentral:rRNA from 1 species